ACACAUGUGGAAAUCUGGAAUCUUAAAUGUUCUAAAAUAUGAAGCAGUUUGGGUGAUGAUACAACAAUAGAAGUUGAAAGUUCCACACCUGGCUUCAUGUGAUGGAUCGUGGUCUAAAACAUGCACACCAAAAUUAUUGCAUAAAAUUAUCUUCAGGCUAUGUGUAUAAGGACAUCGAAGCAGCCACAACAGCUCAACUAAAGACACUCAUGAAAGGGGACUUCUGGAGCUGCUCUAGGAAGUGGCAAGAACAAGAGGACAAGUAUAUUUGAAGCAAGCAUUCUCUUCAAGCCUGUCCUCCACUAUCUCCUCUACCACGAAAUAAAUAAAGCCUCCAUCUACAACAGCAACUGCACACAGUUCUUGCCAUCAUUGAGUUUCACCUGUGAACCCCAGCCAUG